rnacentral:tRNA from 1 species
GGUAGCUCAGUGGUAGAGUGCUUGCCUUGCAUGCAGGAGGCCCUGGGUUCAAUUCCUCAGUAUCA